AUUGCCUGGUUGGGAAUGGGAUCGCCUGGUCAGGAUUGGGAUCACCUGGUUGGGAAUGGGAUCACCUGGUUGGGAAUGGGAUCACCUGGUCAGGAAUGGGAUCGCCUGGUCAGGAAUGGGAUCACCUGGUUGGGAAUGGGAUCACCUGUCUGGGAAUGGGAUCACCUGGUUAGGAUUGGGAUCGCCUGGUCAGGAAUGGGAUCGCCUGGUCAGGAUUGGGAUCAUUCCAUCCACGCUGGGAUUUUGGGGUGACAGCAGCAGGUCCCCGACAGCGCGCUCCCACUGGGAAUGGGGCAGGGAGGGAAUUCCCUCCUCCAAACCCCUGGAAAAUCCUCCUCAUCCAGGCAGGAGCAGGGCCGGACCACUCCCCUCCCAUCCAGCCGUAUCCAUAGGGACCGAUCCCCUUUUCCACCCGUUCCGCCUCCGGUGGGCGAUCCCCACGUUCCAUCCCGAGGGAACGCCACGUGAGGUCUGGGGAACGGGCACGGAAUGCCAGCAAAUCCCUGGGAAAAGCAGGAUUCGGGGUGGGAAUCGCUUCCAGCCGGGUUAUCCGUGGAUAACCGGAAUCCAGGAAUCCAUCGGAGCAUCCCCGCCCGACCCCCCCACCAGCCCCACCUGGAAAAGCGGAUGGUGGCUCCCUGAUUUCAGGAGUGGUUUUUUUGGGAAUUGAUUUUGGGAUCAAAUCCUGGAGCUGGGAAUGGCGCUGGGAAGGUCAGACCUGGAGGUGGCUCCCUGAUUUCAGGAGUGGUUUUUUUGGGAAUUGAUUUUGGGAUCAAAUUCUGGAGCUGGGAAUGGCGCUGGGAAGCUCAGACCUGGAGGUGGCUCCCUGAUUUCAGGAGUGGUUUUUUUGGGAAUUGAUUUUGGGAUCAAAUCCUGGAGCUGGGAAUGGUGCUGGGAAGGUCAGACCUGGAGGUGGCUCCUGGAUUUCAGGAGUGGUUUUUUUUGGAAUUGAUUUUGGGAUCAAAUUCUGGAGCUGGGAAUGGUGCUGGGAAGGUCAGACCUGGAGGUGGCUCCCUGAUUUCAGGAGCGUUUUUUUUGGGAAUUGAUUUUGGGAUCAAAUCCUGGAGCUGGGAACAACUGGGAAGGUCAGACCUGGAGAUGGCUCCUGGAUUUCAUUAAUGGAUUUUUUGGGAAUUGAUUUUUGGAUCAAAUCCUGGAGCUGGGAAUGGUGCUGGGAAUGGCUCUGGGAAGGUCAGACCUGGAGGUGGCUCCCUGAUUUCAGGAGUGGCUUUUUUGGGAAUUGAUUUUGGGAUCAAAUCCUGGAGCUGGGAAUGGUGCUGGGAAGGUCAGACCUGGAGGUGGCUCCUGGAUUUCAGGAGUGGUUUUUUUGGGAAUUGAUUUUGGGAUCAAAUCCUGGAGCUGGGAAUGGCUCUGGGAGCACUGGGAAGGUCAGACCUGGAGGUGGCUCCUGGAUUUCAGGAGUGGCUUUUUUGGGAAUUGAUUUUGGGAUCAAAUCCUGGAGCUGGGAAUGGCUCUGGGAGCACUGGGAAGGUCAGACCUGGAGGUGGCUCCCGGAUUUCAUGAAUGGAAUUUUUGGGAAUUGAUUUUGGGAUCAAAUUCUGGAGCUGGGAAUGGCUCUGGGAGCACUGGGAAGGUCAGACCUGGAGGUGGCUCCCGGAUUUCAUGAUGGUGAUCCCAGCUGGAUAUUCCCACAUUUUCUCCCUGUUCCCACCCCACAGCCGCCCCCGGAAGCUGCGGCCGGGUUAUUUUUGGGAUUCCCAGGGCAGAUCCCGGCUGGAUUGGGG